rnacentral:rRNA from 1 species
UACGUAGGGGGCGAGCGUUGUCCGGAGUUACUGGGCGUAAAGGGCGUGCAGGCGGUGCAGUAAGUUUGGAGUGACAGUACCCGGCUUAACUGGGUAAGGAUUUUGAAAACUGCUGGACUUGAGGGCCAGAGAGGGACAUAGAAUUCCGGGUGGAGUGGUGAAAUGCGUAGAUAUCUGGAGGAACACCGGUGGCGAAGGCGGCAUCCUGGACCGGCAUUGACGCUGAGGCGCGAAAGCGUGGGGAGCAACAAGGAGUAGAACC